rnacentral:rRNA from 1 species
AGCAGCCGCGGUAAUUCCAGCUCCAAUAGCGUAUAUUAAAGUUGUUGCAGUUAAAAAGCUCGUAGUUGAAUUUCGGGACUAAUAUGUCGGUCGUACUUUGUACGUACUAGCAUUAUUGGUUUCUCCCUUCUGACGAACCACGAUGUCAUUAAUUUGGUGUCGCGGGAAAUCAGGACUGUUACUUUGAAAAAUUAGAGUGUUUAAAGCAAGCUCGCGCUUGAAUACAUUAGCAUGGAAUAAUGAAAUAGGACGUUUGAUUCUAUUUUGUUGGUUUCUAGGAUCGACGUAAUGAUUAAUAGGGAUAGUUGGGGGCAUUAGUAUUCAAUUGUCAGAGGUGAAAUUCUUGGAUUUAUUGAAGACUAACUACUGCGAAAGCAUUUUGCCAAGGAUGUUUUCAUUAAUCAAGAACGAAAGUUAGGGGAUCGAAGACGAUCAGAUACCGUCGUAGUCUUAACCAUAAACUAUGCCGACUAGGGAUCGGAUGAUGUUAAUUUUUAAUGACU